rnacentral:rRNA from 1 species
GAUGAACGCUAGCUACAGGCUUAACACAUGCAAGUCGAGGGGCAGCAUGAACAUAGCUUGCUAUGUUUGAUGGCGACCGGCGCACGGGUGCGUAACACGUAUCCAAUCUACCCAUGGCUCGGGGAUAGCCUUUCGAAAGAAAGAUUAAUACCCGAUGGUCUCGGUUUAAGGCAUCUUAGACUGAGUAAAGAUUUAUCGGCGAUGGAUGAGGAUGCGUCUGAUUAGGUAGAUGGCGGGGUAAUGGCCCACCAUGCCUACGAUCAGUAGGGGUUCUGAGAGGAAGGUCCCCCACACUGGAACUGAGACACGGUCCAGACUCCUACGGGAGGCAGCAGUGAGGAAUAUUGGUCAAUGGGCGAGAGCCUGAACCAGCCAAGUAGCGUGAAGGAAGACUGCCCUAUGGGUUGUAAACUUCUUUGUUCGGGAAUAAAGUGCAGUAUGUAUACUGUUUGUAUGUACCGUUCGAAUAAGCAUCGGCUAAUUCCG